AUUCAAGUCCUCAAAAGGAUUUAAACCCGCCAAUUAAAGGGAUUGGAUUGCUGCCUUCUAUUCGAAUUGUGCUUCUGCUAACUUUUGAGGCAGCAAAGGGAACGGCUGCUGUGUACGCAGUACUCCGAGUACUGCAGCUGUCGUUGGACUUUGUCAAGCGGUGAAAUUACAAACUUUUACUUUUGAUAAGGACGCGCGCUUGGCGCGUCUCGCGUGGACACAGAAAGCAGCUGCAAGUUUUAAUCCUCAGGGGUAGUGAGGAAGUGCGAGAAACUGAGUUAUGGUUUGGAUUUAGGGUUCUUGUAAUUUCCUCUCUGCUUCUCUGCUUCUCUGCUCGUCUGGUUUUUCGGGGGAUCGAUCCGGCCUGUGCGACGGCGACAUUUUCAUAUCGGGUACGACAUCCAUUUGGGCGGCUUUCGCAGAUCGGCAAACGGAGUCAGAGAAUACUUGCCUUACUGUAGAAACGAGUUGCCACUAUAAGCUCUGUUUCUGAUUGUAUUUAUGUUUUCUGUGUUUGGGAAAUUGAUAAUAAUCUUGUGUUUGUGUCUGUCUAUGUGCUGGUACAUAUUGAGCUUGGCGCAAGCAAGCUUUGGUGUAUUGUCAUGUGAAAGAUGUGAUUCAUAGGGACAUUAAGCCAGAAAAACUAGUUGUUUCAUCAUGAGGUAUGUAUAAGCUUUGCCCUAUUCAACUAUGCUGCUCUUCUUUUCUUUAGCUGUAUAUGCUGAUAUAUGGAUUAUAUUAGGAGUAGGAAGAGUUUGCUCUUUACUGAAAUUUGUCCAUUAUUGUUAACAUUUACUCAUUCUGGGUAUUGUUAACAAGAUGAAUU